UACGAAGGGGGCUAGCGUUGCUCGGAAUCACUGGGCGUAAAGCGCACGUAGGCGGAUUGCUAAGUCAGGGGUGAAAUCCUGGAGCUCAACUCCAGAACUGCCUUUGAUACUGAAGGUCUUGAGUUCGGGAGAGGUGAGUGGAACUGCGAGUGUAGAGGUGAAAUUCGUAGAUAUUCGCAAGAACACCAGUGGCGAAGGCGGCUCACUGGCCCGAUACUGACGCUGAUGGCACGAAAGCCGUGGGGAGCAAACAGG
rnacentral:rRNA from 1 species